rnacentral:lncRNA from 1 species
CUCUCUCUCGGCUUUGAAAUCCUAGGCCUGCUUGGCCAUUUUUCUUUCAGCAAUGAUAACCCUCUGUUUUAGACCAGUGCUUUCAUUGCCGCUCCCUUCUUUUAACUGCUCCAGUAUGCAGGCCCUUUCUUCAGCACUUUUAAUUAAUUGCUUCUGAGCUCUAGACAAUUCAUUCUCUUCCUUAUUCAGGUCGAAACCAUAGUCGGUUACUAUUUGUCGCAGGUUCUCUAUGAGCUUUUCAUCCUUUAUACUCCUUGGAGUUUUUUCGGCAGCUGUUUUCAUUUUCUGAAUCUGGGCUCGCAAG